CCUACGGGUGGCUGCAGUGGGGAAUAUUGCACAAUGGGGGAAACCCUGAUGCAGCGACGCCGCGUGAGCGAGGAAGUAUUUCGGUAUGUAAAGCUCUAUCAGCAGGGACGAAAAAAGACGGUACCUGACUAAGAAGCCCCGGCUAACUACGUGCCAGCAGCCGCGGUAAUACGUAGGGGGCAAGCGUUAUCCGGAUUUACUGGGUGUAAAGGGAGCGUAGACGGCAAGGCAAGCCAGAAGUGAAAGGGCAGGGCUCAACCCUGUAAAUGCUUUUGGAACUGUGGUGCUAGAGUGCAGGAGAGGGAAGGGGGAUUCCGAGGGGAGGCGGGAAAUGCGUAGAUAUUAGGAGGGACAACAGGGGCGGAGGGGGCUUAAUGGACUGUAACUGACGUUGAGGCUCGAAAGCGUGGGGAGCAAACAGGAUUAGAUACCCUGGUAGUC
rnacentral:rRNA from 1 species